GUCAGAGGCGGCGCCGGCCCGGUGGACUCGUCGUCUCUCCCACCCCCGGCCGCCCGAGCUCCUGCCGCCCCGCCCGUCCUCUCAGGAGGCGAUCCCACGCCGCGCCCCCCGCCUGGCCGGUCGGCCGCAGCGCCCGCCGCCACCGCCCUCCCGCCGCCCGCGGCCCCGCGCCCGCGCCCCUUCCCACCCGCCGCCGCCGCACCCCGCCGCCUGCUGCCCGCCGCCCGCCAUGAGCCCGGCCGACGCGAAGCGCGGGGCCAAGCGUCGGAAGAACAAGCGUGGCGGCAGCUCGGGUGGUGGCAAGGCCGGCCCGGCGGCGGCGCUGCGCGGUCCCCAGGCCCCGGGCCCCGGCGGCGCGGCGGGCCUGCUGGGCGGUGCGGUGGCGGCCCACGGGCCCAUGGGCGCGGGCGGAGCCGCCGGAGGCUACUUCGAGACUCCUUUUAGUUUUGGCAUGAAUCAUAGGACACCACCCUACCCCGCUGGGGAUUAUUGUCUUCUGUGCAGAAGUGAACGGAAAGACUCUUCAUUCUUAGAGAGUGGAGUUAAGACUGCGAACAAACUGGCCCUUUCCAUGGCUUCCAAGGGCAACAGCGUGCUGCACCUGCCGCUGUGGGUGUGCCCGGACUGCCGGAGGACUGUGGAGAAGGAAGAAAGGCAAGGCGGCCUUGACCAGCCGCAGGGCCAAGAUUUUCUUCUUCACACGCCGCUUGGGAGUGCACAGCCAGAUGCCAGCAGGUUGGCUCUGGGUGCACAGAUGCUGCCCUCCACAGGGCUGAGCCCUGCACCCUCGGAGGCCCCCUGCUCAUGCGAGGCCUGCAGUGAACGCAGAGAAAUUUCAGCAGAGACAGACCGGGAACCUCAACAGCUACAGAACUACUGGUCUGAAGUACGCUACAUGGUGCGCUGCAUAUACCGCCAGGCGGGAACCCCCCUGGCAGAUGACCAAGACCAGUCCUUGGUACCUGACAAGGAGGGAGUGAAGGAGCUCGUGGAUAGGCUCUGUGAGCGGGACCCCUACCAGCUGUACCAGCGGUUGGAGCAGCAGGCCCGGGAAUAUGUGCUAGAGAUGAAGGUCCGUCUGCUCCGACAGCUGUCAUCAGCAGCGAAGGCCAAGGCACCGUCUAGCCUGCAGGGCCCGCCACAGGCUCAUCACUUCAUCUCCCUCCUACUCGAAGAGUAUGGCGCCCUCUGCCAGGCGGCACGCUCCAUCAGCACGUUUCUCGGCACUCUGGAAAAUGAGCACUUGAAAAAGUUCCAGGUGACAUGGGAACUACAUAAUAAGCACCUGUUUGAAAAUCUGGUCUUUUCGGAGCCCCUUCUCCAGAGCAACUUGCCAACACUGGUGUCACAGAUCAGGCUGGGAACCACUACACACGACACUUGCAAUGAGGACACGUACAGCACCUUGCUACAGAGGUACCAGCGCUCUGAGGAGGAGCUGCGCAAGGUUGCAGAGGAAUGGCUGGAGUGCCAGAAGCGGAUUGAUGCCUAUGUGGAUGAGCAGAUGACAAUGAAAAGCAAGCAGCGAAUAUUAACAGAAGACUGGGAGAUUUUUAAGCAGAGGCGAUUCAUUGAGGAACAGUUAACUAACAAGAAAGCGGUUACUGGUGAGAACAACUUCACAGACACCAUGAGGCACAUGUUGUCGUCCCGCCUGAGUAUGCCUGACUGCCCCAACUGCAACUACAGGAGAAGAUGUGCUUGCGAUGACUGCAGCCUCUCACACAUCCUCACUUGUGGUGUCAUGGACCCCCCCAUCACUGACGACAUCCACAUUCACCAGCUACCACUCCAAGUGGAUUCUGCUCCUGACUAUCUCUCUGAGAUGCGCCCUCCUAGUGUAACAUCAGCAAGCUCAGGGUCAGGUUCCAGCUCUCCCAUCACAAUUCAGCAGCAUCCCAGACUCAUCCUCACAGACAAUGGCUCUGCACCAACUUUUUGUAGUGAUGAUGAAGACGUUGCACCAUUGUCGGCCAAGUUUGCUGAUAUUUAUCCAUUGAGUAACUACGAUGACACUGAGGUGGUGGCCAACAUGAAUGGAAUCCACAGCGAACUGAAUGGUGGUGGGGAAAACCUGGCCUUGAAAGAUGAGUCCCCUCAGGUUAGCAGUACCAGUAGUAGUUCUUCUGAAGCUGAUGAUGAAGAAGCGGAUGGUGAGAGUGGGGGAGAGCCCCCAGGAGCGCCAAAAGAAGACGGGGCCCUAGGAAAUGGGAGCCCCGUGACAGAGGAGAUUAAAGUAGACACUCCACCCCCGUCUUACCCUGCUCAGCAGGCUGAACAAGCUCCAAAUAUUUGUGAAUGUCAUGUUUGUAAACAAGAAGCCUCGGGGCUGACGGCAUCGGCAAUGACGGCUGGAGCCCUUCCUCCUGGUCACCAGUUCCUGAGCCCUGAGAAGCCCACACACCCUGCACUGCACCUGUAUCCCCACAUCCAUGGCCAUGUGCCCCUGCACACCGUCCCACACCUGCCUCGCCCUCUCAUCCACCCCACCUUAUACACUGCGCCCCCCUUCACGCACAGUAAGGCUUUACCGCCAGCACCUGUUCAGAAUCACACAAAUAAGCAUCAGGUAUUCAAUGCAUCUCUUCAAGACCAUAUUUAUCCGAGCUGUUUUGGGAAUACUCCAGAGUGGAAUAGUUCUAAAUUUCUAAGUCUUUGGGGAUCAGAAGUGAUGAAUGAUAAGAACUGGAAUCCUGGCACUUUCUUGCCAGAUACAAUUUCUGGAAGUGAUAUAUUAGGACCAGCACUCUCAGAAACAAGACCUGAAGCUCUUCCACCUCCGCCAAGCAGUGAAGCAUCCAUAGCUUUGGAUAAUAAAGAAAAAAAAAAUGCUGCAAAAAAGAAGUGUUUGUACAAUUUCCAAGAUGCUUUUAUGGAAGCAAACAAAGUUGUCAUGGCCACCUCCUCUGCCACAUCUUCUGUGUCCUGCACGGCCACCACAGUGCAGUCAAGCAACAGCCAGUUCAAAGUGUCGUCCAAGAGACCUCCUUCGAUAGGUGACGUCUUUCACAGCAUCAACAAGGAGGACCACAGGCACUCUGCACCUGCUGCUCCCAGGAACAGCCCCACGGGCCCAGCCCCGCUCCCCACCCUCUCUCCUGCUGCGCUCUCUCCAGCCUCCACGCCUCACCUUGCAAAUCUUACAGCCCCAACUUUCCCCAAAACUGCAACCACAGCUCCCAGCUUUGCAGACACACGCAAGAGCUUCUGUCCUGCCCCUGUGGCCCCGCCAUCCUCCACCACAGACGGCUCCAUCAGCGCCCCACCCAGCGUCUGCAGUGACCCUGACUGUGAGGGGCACCGCUGCGAGAAUGGCGUGUAUGACCCACAGCAGGACGAUGGGGAUGAGAGUGCCGAUGAGGACAGCUGCUCUGAGCACAGCUCCAGCACCUCAACCUCCACCAACCAGAAGGAGGGCAAGUACUGUGACUGCUGCUACUGCGAAUUCUUCGGGCACGGAGGGCCUCCAGCUGCACCAACCAGUAGAAACUAUGCAGAAAUGAGGGAGAAACUUCGUUUACGGCUGACCAAGAGGAAAGAAGAGCAACCUAAAAAAAUGGAUCAGAUCUCAGAACGGGAAAGUAUCGUUGACCAUCGAAGGGUAGAGGAUUUGUUGCAGUUUAUAAAUAGCUCAGAAACCAAGCCCGUAAGCAGCACGCGGGCAGCCAAGCGAGCCAGGCACAAGCAAAGAAAGCUGGAGGAGAAGGCACGCCUAGAAGCUGAGGCCAGGGCGCGGGAGCACCUGCACCUCCAGGAGGAGCAGCAGCGGCGGGAAGAGGACGAAGAUGAGGAAGAGGAAGAUGAGGAACAGCGUUUCAAGGAGGAAUUCCAGCGGCUUCAGGAGCUGCAGAAGUUAAGAGCUGUGAAAAAGAAGAAGAAAGAGAGGCCAAGCAAAGACUGUCCCAAAUUGGACAUGCUGGCUAGGAAUUUUCAGGCAGUGACAGAGUCUGUCACUAACUCUGAAAGCAUCCACAAUGGCUCAGUAGAGCAGACUGAAGAACCAGAAACCUCAUCUCACUCCCCUUCUAGAUACACAAAUCACUCAGAGCCCAGGCCAGGCCUGGGAGCCGACGGGGACACUAUAGAUCCUGUUCUGAAUGCCAGAGACUCCAAGCUUCUCCUCCCCAAAGAGGUCAAUGGGAAGCAGCAUGAACCGCUUGCUUUUCUCUUCGACAUGAUGCAUCACCAUAAAGAGGGAAAUGGCAAACAGAAGCUAAAGCAGACCACUAAGACCAACAGUGAAGCAACAAGGAAACCUAUAGAGCCCCCCAGAGUGCCUGACGGGGUGCCUAAGCCACGGGCCCAGAUAGAGCCAAAAACUAAGGUGGUUGAGCUCACUUCUCUCACAGAGCAGAAAAGAGAGGAAAGAAAAGCCAAUAGUAACAACAAUAACAAAAAGCAGCUGAACCACAUCAAGGAGGAAAAGUCAACCUCAGUCCCUCCUGAGCCUCCUUCUCCCAACCAGCAUCCACAGAAUGGCCGGCUGAUACUGGCUGACUCUCCCCAGCCAAAGGGCAAGAGCAAGAAAAGCAAGAAGAAGAAAGGAGACCGAGCCAGCAGUUCAAUUGGUCAUUCAGUUACCUAACACUGAACCAACCUUGGAUUCUAAUGAAGCACACUUGAUUGCGAUAAAUUAGAACGCCCCACCUUCCAGCACUGCAUCCCUGGGAAGAAAGUCUCAUGCUCUGGUGCCUCUCUUGUACCUGCCUCCUGGUGUGCCCUCUCCCAGUCUCAGCAGUCAGCAGGCCCAGUGUGCCCUUUCUCUUUAGCCCUUCCUGUCCUCCUCUUCCUGUUUUCCCUUUCCAUCAUUUCUGCACACUCUGGCACAGCUAAUGUGGCGGUUGUUUUGUCAGCCUUCUGAGAGCUCAUAGCCUUGGGAGAGUGAAAAUGCCAAGUGCCGGUGUGAGGUCCCUGUCAGCUGGCAGUGAUCACAGGGCUCUUUGGGCUUGUAAGUCCCUGCAGGAGACUGCAGCAGGGAUGCUGCGAGCCAGUAUGGGGCUCAGGCAGCCAGGAAGGCAAGCCUCAGGUCUAGGAGCCUCUCGUGAGGACUCUGCUGUGGGAGCUGAUCAGGCAGAGCUGCAUUGAGGCCAGGCAGAAGGCAUGGGUGCUGAGGUGCUGGCCCAUGGGAAGGAACAGGCUUGCAACAGAUUGUCCAGGGCCCAGUGCUGGCCCUGCUGGAGUCUGAUGCCUGAAAGAAGGAUGUGCAGAAGGAAGCAGCUUGAUGGAGGUGGUGCUUAAGGAGGUCGGGCAGGUUGGUGGCUGGCUGUUGAAUGGCUCCUGAGUGACUGUGGAAGCCCGCAGGGGUAGAAGAAGACACACAUCAGGAGCAAGGUGCUCGUGGGAGUCAUGCAAACAUGUGAAGAACAGCGCUCAGGUGCCAUGUGUGAGCUGGGUGAGGAGGGCCCUCGCUGUGGAAAUCACAACUGUGGCAGCUGCCAUUAGGCACACAGGGACCUUCACUGCUCUGCUCUGCGGAGAUGCCCAGGGGCUGGAAGAAGCAGGCUCUAAGUGUAGGUCUGCAGAGCAAAUGCCCACCGAUAACAAAAACGUGGGAGGCCUCUGCCUACUCCAUGCUGAUGGAGCCAGCACCACAGCUGCCUGCCCAGAUGUGCAUUCUGGGCCUGAGCCUAAGCAGAUCAGAGUGCUGGGCAGAGCCACAGAGAAAAGUGUACAUGCUCAGACCUGGCCAGGACCACAGGAGUUGGAGUCUCCACCCUCCUGCUGUGUUCUGAAGGGAUCUUUUCACUGUGGAGCUAGCCACCACUGUGCUUUUCUUUCAGAAUGGCCUGUGAGGCUUUGGAUGAAGUGUGUAAGGAUGAGUGCCCAGGAGAGCACCUCCCUGUCGGGUUAGUGUCUGGGUUUCUUCCUGCCCUCCUGCAGAGAUGAGGGUCCUAAUGAACGCUAAUGGCCCAGCUGUGAUUGAAAGACUGCUCAAGGUAAACGUGGCUGCAGGAAGCCCUAUGUGCUGCCGACAGGACCUGAAGCAGUUUUGUGCUCAGCAAGCCUGAGUGGGCACACAAGAGCUUUGCCCUCGUUGGCCUUCUACAUUUCAGAAAA